rnacentral:rRNA from 1 species
UACGUAGGGGGCUAGCGUUGUCCGGAAUCAUUGGGCGUAAAGCGCGUGUAGGCGGUUCGGUAAGUCCGCUGUGAAAGUCGGAGGCUCAACCCUCGAAUGCCGGUGGAUACUGUCGGGCUAGAGUGCGGAAGAGGCGAGUGGAAUUCCUGGUGUAGCGGUGAAAUGCGCAGAUAUCAGGAGGAACACCAAUUGCGAAGGCAGCUCGCUGGGACGCUACUGACGCUGAGACGCGAAAGCGUGGGGAGCAAACAGG